UAGGAAGAAGCUCAGAAAGACAAGACCAGUGUGAUCAAGAACACAGACUCCCCUGAGUUCAAGGAGCAGUUCAAACUCUGCAUCAACCGCAGCCACCGUGGCUUCCGAAGGGCCAUCCAGACCAAGGGCAUCAAGUUCGAAGUGGUUCACAAGGGGGGGCUGUUCAAGACUGACCGGGUGCUGGGGACAGCCCAGCUGAAGCUGGAUGCACUGGAGACAGCAUGUGAGGUCCGGGAGAUCCUUGAGGUCCUGGAUGGUCGCCGGCCCACAGGGGGGCGACUGGAGGUAAUGGUCCGGAUUCGGGAGCCACUGACAGCCCAGCAGUUGGAGACGACGAC
rnacentral:lncRNA from 1 species